AUUGAACGCUGGCGGCAGGCCUAACACAUGCAAGUCGAACGAGUGGCGGACGGGUGAGUAAUGUCUGGGAAACUGCCUGAUGGAGGGGGAUAACUACUGGAAACGGUCGCUAAUACCGCAUACCAUCAGAUGUGCCCAGAUGGGAUUAGCUUGUUGGUGGGGUAACGGCUCACCAAGGCGACGAGCCCUAGCUGGUCUGAGAGGAUGACCGCCCACACUGGAACUGAGCCACGGUCCAGACUCCUACGGUGGGCCGCUGUGGGGAAUAUUUCACAAUGGGCGCAAGCCUGAUGCAGCCAUGCCGGGUGUAUGAAGCAGGCCUUCGGGUUGUAAAGUACUUUCAGCGGGGAGGCGUUACCCGCAGAAGAAGCACCGGCUAACUCCGUGCCAGCAGCCGCGGUAAUAC
rnacentral:rRNA from 1 species